rnacentral:rRNA from 1 species
UACAGAGGUCUCAAGCGUUGUUCGGAUUCAUUGGGCGUAAAGGGUGUGUAGGUGGCGCGCUAAGUCGGGGUGUGAAAUUUCGGAGCUUAACUCCGAAACUGCAUUCGAUACUGGCGUGCUUGAGGACUGGAGAGGAGACUGGAAUUCAUGGUGUAGCAGUGAAAUGCGUAGAGAUCAUGAGGAAGACCAGUGGCGAAGGCGGGGUCUCUGGACAGUUCCUGACACUGAGACACGAAGGCCAGGGGGAGCAAACGGGG